UCUUAUCAAGAGAGGUGGAGGGACUGGCCCUUUGAAGCCUCGGCAGCGGAACUUCUUUAUGAAGGGAACUGUGCCAAAUCCAGCAAGCAUUGUCUUGGAAGAUAAGA
rnacentral:ncRNA from 1 species